rnacentral:rRNA from 1 species
GUUGUAUAGUCAAGUAAUUAAGUGCAUGUGGUGGAUGCCUUGGCAGUCAGAGGCGAUGAAAGACGUGAUAGCCUGCGAAAAGCUCCGGGGAGGCGGCAAAUAUCCUUUGAUCCGGAGAUGUCUGAAUGGGGGAACCCACCUACUUUAAGGUAGGUAUUGCAACAUGAAUACAUAGUGUUGCAAGGCGAACGAGGGGAAGUGAAACAUCUCAGUACCCUUAGGAAAAGAAAUCAAUUGAGAUUCCCUCAGUAGCGGCGAGCGAACGGGGAUCAGCCCAUUAAGUUAUGUGUGUUUUAGUGGAACGCUCUGGGAAGUGCGAACGUAGAGGGUGAUAUUCCCGUACACGAAAGGGCACACAUAAUGAUGACGAGUAGGGCGAGGCACGUGAAACCUUGUCUGAAUAUGGGGGGACCAUCCUCCAAGGCUAAAUACUCCUGACUGACCGAUAGUGAACCAGUACCGUGAGGGAAAGGCGAAAAGAACCCCUGUGAGGGGAGUGAAAUAGAUCCUGAAACCGCAUGCAUACAAGCAGUGGGAGCACCUUCGUGGUGUGACUGCGUACCUUUUGUAUAAUGGGUCAGCGACUUAUAUUCAGUAGCGAGGUUAACCGUAUAGGGGAGCCGUAGAGAAAUCGAGUCUUAAUAGGGCGUUUAGUUGCUGGGUAUAGACCCGAAACCAGGCGAUCUAUCCAUGAGCAGGUUGAAGGUUGGGUAACACUAACUGGAGGACCGAACCCACUGUCGUUGAAAAGCCAGGGGAUGACUUGUGGAUAGGGGUGAAAGGCUAAUCAAGCCUGGUGAUAGCUGGUUCUCCCCGAAAGCUAUUUAGGUAGCGCCUCGGACGAAUACCAUAGGGGGUAGAGCACUGUUUCGGCUAGGGGGUCAUCCCGACUUACCAAACCGAUGCAAACUCCGAAUACCUAUGAGUACUAUCCGGGAGACAGACUGCGGGUGCUAACGUCCGUAGUCAAGAGGAAAACAAUCCAGACCGCCAGCUAAGGCCCCAAAAUCAUAGUUAAGUGGGAAACGAUGUGGGAAGGCAUAGACAGCUAGGAGGUUGGCUUAGAAGCAGCCACCCUUUAAAGAAAGCGUAAUAGCUCACUAGUCGAGUCGGCCUGCGCGGAAGAUGUAACGGGGCUAAAACUAUGUGCCGAAGCUGCGGAUGUAUACUUUGUAUACGUGGUAGGGGAGCGUUCUGUAAGCCGAUGAAGGUGUGUUGAGAAGCAUGCUGGAGGUAUCAGAAGUGCGAAUGCUGACGUGAGUAACGACAAAACGGGUGAAAAACCCGUUCGCCGAAAGACCAAGGGU